AGAGUUUGAUCCUGGCUCAGGAUGAACGCUAGCGGCAGGCUUAACACAUGCAAGUCGAGGGGCAUCGCGUAGGUAGCAAUACUUAUGGCGGCGACCGGCGCAAGGGUGCGUAACGCGUGAGCAACAUGCCCGUAUCGGGAGGAUAACCCGGAGAAAUCCGGACUAAUACUCCAUGGAUCCUGGAGGGGGCAUCCCCUCAAGGAUAAAGACACGUCGGAUACGGAUUGGCUCGCGUGACAUUAGCUGGACGGCGGGGUAACGGCCCACCGUGGCAACGAUGUCUAGGGGAACUGAGAGGUUGGUCCCCCACACUGGAACUGAGACACGGUCCAGACUCCUACGGGAGGCAGCAGUGAGGAAUAUUGGACAAUGGGCGGAAGCCUGAUCCAGCCAUGCCGCGUGAAGGAAUACGGUCCUAUGGAUUUUAAACUUCUUUUGUACGCGAGCAAUAAGGUCCACGCGUGGGCCGAUGAGAGUAGCGUACGAAUAAGCAUCGGCUAACUCCGUGCCAGCAGCCGCGGUAAUACGGAGGAUGCGAGCGUUAUCCGGAUUCAUUGGGUUUAAAGGGUGCGUAGGCGGUCUGGUAAGUCAGCGGUGAAAUGUACGGGCUCAACCUGUAACUUGCCGUUGAUACUGCUGGGCUGGAAUACAGUUGCCGUGGGAGGAAUGUGUAGUGUAGCGGUGAAAUGCUUAGAUAUUACACAGAACACCGAUUGCGAAGGCAUCUCACGAAACUGGGAUUGACGCUGAGGCACGAAAGUGCGGGGAUCAAACAGGAUUAGAUACCCUGGUAGUCCGCACAGUAAACGAUGAUGACUAGCUGUCGGCGAUAGACAGUCGGUGGCUAAGCGAAAGCGAUAAGUCAUCCACCUGGGGAGUACGACCGCAAGGUUGAAACUCAAAGGAAUUGACGGGGGCCCGCACAAGCGGAGGAACAUGUGGUUUAA
rnacentral:rRNA from 1 species